rnacentral:lncRNA from 1 species
AUGCGGAUGAAGAUGCUAUUUAAUGCGAUGCUGUUUAACUGGGCACCCUGCAUGGAAACUGGAGCUCUGUUGUUAGCCCCAUUUCACAGGUUUCUCAUAGGAAGAUACAAGCUGUCACGAUCCCUUGCCAAUCACAUGAGAACUGACCUAGGGAGAACAUCAACCGAAGGUUGUGUCCAGACUUGAAAAUUAAGAUUUAGAAAGUCCCACGGCCUGUCUGAGCUUUACACUGGGAGGAAUACGAGCUGCCUGAGCAGAGGAUGAAUGUUGUCUUGGGUCACCAUCAAGAUCUUGACCUGCCUAACUGAUGUGACUCAGGGAAAGAGGUAUGUCAAUGCUCAUCAGGAGCACAUCCUCAUUUACUGCUUCCUGGAGUAGCGUGAGAGAUAAGGGGAUUUAUCAGCAAUUUAAUUAUAGAUGUAACACACUGUAGUUGUAACAUUCAUUAUGCAAGACAAAAAGGAGUCUUCUCUUUGCACUGCAAGAUUUCAAGCUCAACUGAAAUCUGAAGAGUAUGGAUGAGGUUGGGCAUGAUCUUGUGAAUC